rnacentral:SRP_RNA from 1 species
GCCGGGUGUGGUGGCUCACACCUGUAAUCCCAGCUACUUGGGAGGCUGAGGCAGGACAAUUGCUUGAACCCAGGAGGUGGAGGUUGCAGUGAGCCGAGAUAGCACCACUGCACUCUAGCCUGGGCAAUAGAGCGAGACUCUGUCUCAA